rnacentral:siRNA from 1 species
CUAGACCAUGCUUCGUUUGUC